rnacentral:rRNA from 1 species
GAAUUGGUAGUAAUCGCGGAUCAGCUAUGCCGCGGUGAAUACGUUCUUGCCUCUUGCACACACCGCCCGUCAAGCCAACAAAGUCGGGAAAAUUUGAACCCCACCUAUGGUGGGGGAGGAUUCUUCCGGCGAUGGGGGUUAAGUCGUAACAAGGUAUCCGUUCUGGAAGGAGCGGAUGGAUCACCUCCUUUCUAA